GUGGGGAAUAUUGGACAAUGGGGGGAACCCUGAUCCAGCCAUGCCGCGUGUGUGAAGAAGGCCUUUUGGUUGUAAAGCACUUUAAGCGAGGAGGAGGCUACCGAGAUUAAUACUCUUGGAUAGUGGACGUUACUCGCAGAAUAAGCACCGGCUAACUCUGUGCCAGCAGCCGCGGUAAUACAGAGGGUGCAAGCGUUAAUCGGAUUUACUGGGCGUAAAGCGCGCGUAGGUGGCCAAUUAAGUCAAAUGUGAAAUCCCCGAGCUUAACUUGGGAAUUGCAUGCGAUACUGGUUGGCUAGAGUAUGGGAGAGGAUGGUAGAAUUCCAGGGGUAGCGGUGAAAUGCGUAGAGAUCUGGAGGAAUACCGAUGGCGAAGGCAGCCAUCUGGCCUAAUACUGACACUGAGGUGCGAAAGCAUGGGGAGCAAACAGGAUUAGAAACCCCGGUAGUCC
rnacentral:rRNA from 1 species